UACGGGGGGUGCAAGCGUUAAUCGGAAUCACUGGGCGUAAAGGGUGCGUAGGCGGUGCAUUAGGUCUGUCGUGAAAUCCCCGGGCUCAACCUGGGAAUGGCGGUGGAAACCGGUGUACUAGAGUAUGGGAGAGGGUGGUGGAAUUCCAGGUGUAGCGGUGAAAUGCGUAGAGAUCUGGAGGAACAUCAGUGGCGAAGGUGGCCACCGGGCCCAAUACUGACUCUGAGGCACGAAAGCGUGGGGAGCAAACAGG
rnacentral:rRNA from 1 species